UCCCAUGUGGCUCAGUUGGUAGAGCAUGGUGUUUGCAACACCAAGGUUGUAGGUUUGAUUCCCAUGUGGGAC
rfam:Salmo salar isolate Sally breed double haploid chromosome ssa16, whole genome shotgun sequence.